rnacentral:rRNA from 1 species
UACGGAGGGUGCGCGCGUUGUUCGGAAUUACUGGGCGUAAAGCGCGUGUAGGCGGCUUCUUGAGUCUGGUGUGAAAUCCCGGGGCUCACCCCCGGAAGUGCACUGGAAACUGGGAGGCUAGAGUACCGGAGAGGAGGGUGGAAUUCCUGGUGUAGCGGUGAAAUGCGUAGAUAUCAGGAGGAACACCGGUGGCGAAGGCGGCCCUCUGGACGGAUACUGACGCUGAGACGCGAAAGCGUGGGGAGCAAACAGG